rnacentral:rRNA from 1 species
UACGAAGGGGGCUAGCGUUGCUCGGAAUCACUGGGCGUAAAGCGCACGUAGGCGGACUCUUAAGUCGGUGGUGAAAUCCUGGAGCUCAACUCCAGAACUGCCUUCGAUACUGAGAGUCUCAGAGUCCGGGAGAGGUGAGUGGAACUCCGAGUGUAGAGGUGAAAUUCGUAGAUAUUCGGAAGAACACCAGUGGCGAAGGCGGCUCACUGGCCCGGUACUGACGCUGAGGUGCGAAAGCGUGGGGAGCGAACAGG